UGCCUUCCGUCCCCAUCAGCUGCGUGGCCUGGCUCUCUGGUCGGACGACGUCCGGCAGGAUCACCCCGCGGGGCCCGUCUUUUUCCAGGAUGGGCGGCUCUGUUCGCAGAGAACGAGAGACGGUUCCUGCUGUGCUGGUCCGAGCACAGGGACCUUCCCGGAGGUGACCCAGGCACACGCUGGAGCCGGGACAGCAGCACUGGCUGGUGCCGGAGGGAUCUCGAGAACGGCAGUCCCCAGCAGACCCAGGCGGGGUCUCCAGGAUGAUCAUCUCUAGCUGCCUCCAUGUUGCUGCAACCUACAUUGUUUCAUUUUUUAUGGGCUUCAAAAUAGUUCUGAUGAAAUAAGCGAAAGAACAGGAGCUGAGGCAUGUUAUACUACACACGACCUGCCGACCUCAAACCCUCACCACGGCACAGAUGGGAAAACAGAUGUGCCUCAGGGCAGAAAAAGGGACUGGCCCAUCACCGGAGAGCAGGCUGGGGCUGGGACAAACCGUCGGCAAAGCACAAAGCAGCCAAGACAGGGGGGACACAGGACACUAGGCACUGUGGAGGGUCCUUGGGGGCAGCUUUCUGCAGGUGCCCCCAGCCCCAUUGAGCCAGACAUGCCCGGACCUCGCAGGCAGGUAACGGAAGUGGGUACUACCGCAGGGGCUGAGGCGGGCUGACGUCGCUGUCACCAAAGGGCACUAAGCUGCAUUUGUGGGUUUAGA